UAGAGAACAUUGACAUUAUGGCUGGUAAUGGGGUGGGCCAGAGCUAGGCAAAAUUGAUAUUUUGAAUAGGCCUGGCCUGUCUAUUUCAAAAUCCAACGCUGAACCAGCCCCAGGCCUGCCCAUUGCCAGGCCUAGUUGAUAUUUAGAGGAAAAGACUCAGUUUUCUCUUCUCUCUUAUGAGUUGGGUGGUUUUGUUUGUUGUUUCACAAAUUAGAAACAAAAGAAUGCAUCUAUGAUCCUCCUUUUUAUCUAUUGGAUCUUAUCUUGAUUCAACUAUUUUAAUUAUGAUUUUCUCUGUGUUAAGUAUUGUAAGGAGACAUUUUAUGAUGUUUCCCUUUUUUGUUGAUCUUUAUCACUGACUAGAGGACAAGACUGCCUUUCUUAUCUGCUUUCUGUUAUACAUAUAUAUGCAUAUUUAUAUUGUUUAUUCUUUAUGAUUUGCAGCUUCGCCAUUUCUGUGAUGCGUGGUCAAAUUUAGCUAGUGCAUAUAUGAGGAAAGGAAGGCUUAAUGAGGCAGCCCGGUGUUGUCACCAGGCUCUUGCAUUGAACCCUCGCUUGGUGAAUCCUUGUUUUGUUUUAUCAUUUAGUUUCCUUCUUUUGUUGUAGAUGCAUUGAAAUUACUAUUUGCAGAUCUUCCCCUUAUUGGCAGGUUGAUGCUCAUAGCAACCUUGGUAAUCUGAUGAAGGCACAAAGGCUUAGCACAAGAAUUUGUCAGAAAAUGCAUAUGUUCUUGUGGUAGAGGUAUUGAAGAAAAUGCAUAUAUUCUGUAGGCAUUAAGCUCCCUUGUUGCUUCACUACUUGAGAAAGAAAAGGAUCUUCAACUUCUCUCUGACUGGUCCAAUUCCUCCUACUUUGGGUAAUUUGAACAUGCUCAAAAUUUUGUAUUUUUUUUAUAAAUCAAAUUUCAGGUACAAUUCCUACAGAAUUAGGGAAUCUCAAGAAUGUGGUUUAGUUGACGUUGCAACGAAACAAUCUGACUGGUCUGAUUCCUCAUGCUUCGAGUAAUUUGAGAAACCUUACAUUGUUGUUGGUCUGAUUCCUCCAGUUAUUCUGCUUUUGAAGAAGUUCUCCCACAUGCUCCAACAUUGAUGACUGAUGUGUUUGGCAAUUAUGUUAUUUAAAAGUUUUUUGAUCAUGGAAGCCCUGAGCAGAGAAAAGAACUAGCAAAUCAGCUUGCUGGCCACAUUCAACCUUGGAGCCUUUAGAUGUAUGGGUGCCGGGUAAUUCAAAAGGGCCCUACACAAUUCAAUCUGGCUAAUCCACGCUUACACAUGUUGCCCUUUUUAAUGGAAGGUAUGUGCUUGAUUUUAUUUUUAUUAUUAUUUUAGUUGUUGUGGGAUGCAAAUAUGCUCUGCUUGAAUUCAUGAUGGGAGCUGAUUACUUGGGUUUUACCAACCAAAGGGUAGGUGUUAAUGCAG